UCGAACGAACUCUGGUAUUGAUUGGUGCUUGCAUCAUGAUUUACAUUUGCGUGAGUGGCGAACUGGUGAGUAACACGUGGGAAACCUGCCCAGAAGCGGGGGGUAACACCUGGAAACAGAUGCUAAUACCGCAUAACAACUUGGACCGCAUGGUCCGAGCUUGAAAGAUGGCUUCGGCUAUCACUUUUGGAUGGUCCCGCGGCGUAUUAGCUAGAUGGUGGGGUAACUGCUCACCAUGGCGAUGAUACGUAGCCGACCUGAGAGGGUAAUCGGCCACAUUGGGACUGAGACACGGCCCAAACUCCUACGGGAGGCAGCAGUAGGGAAUCUUCCACAAUGGACGAAAGUCUGAUGGAGCAACGCCGCGUGAGUGAAGAAGGGUUUCGGCUCGUAAAACCCUGUUGUUAAAGAAGAACAUAUCUGAGAGUAACUGUUCAGGUAUUGACGGUAUUUAACCAGAAAGCCACGGCUAACUACGUGCCAGCAGCCGCGGUAAUACGUAGGUGGCAAGCGUUGUCCGGAUUUAUUGGGCGUAAAGCGAGCGCAGGCGGUUUUUUAAGUCUGAUGUGAAAGCCUUCGGCUCAACCGAAGAAGUGCAUCGGAAACUGGGAAACUUGAGUGCAGAAGAGGACAGUGGAACUCCAUGUGUAGCGGUGAAAUGCGUAGAUAUAUGGAAGAACACCAGUGGCGAAGGCGGCUGUCUGGUCUGUAACUGACGCUGAGGCUCGAAAGUAUGGGUAGCAAACAGGAUUAGAUACCCUGGUAGUCCAUACCGUAAACGAUGAAUGCUAAGUGUUGGAGGGUUUCCGCCCUUCAGUGCUGC
rnacentral:rRNA from 1 species